rnacentral:rRNA from 1 species
GAUGAACGCUAGCGGCAGGCUUAAUACAUGCAAGUCGAGGGGUAGCAGGGCAGCAAUACCGCUGACGACCGGCAAACGGGUGCGGAACACGUACACAACCUUCCUUUUAGUGGGGAAUAGCCCAGAGAAAUUUGGAUUAAUACCCCAUAACAUAGCGAUGUGGCAUCACAUUGUUAUUAUAGGUUUACCGCUAAGAGAUGGGUGUGCGGCUGAUUAGGUAGUUGGCGGAGUAACAGCCCACCAAGCCAACGAUCAGUAGCUGAUGUGAGAGCAUGAUCAGCCACACGGGCACUGAGACACGGGCCCGACUCCUACGGGAGGCAGCAGUAAGGAAUAUUGGACAAUGGACGCAAGUCUGAUCCAGCCAUGCCGCGUGAAGGAUUAAGGCCCUCUGGGUUGUAAACUUCUUUUAUAGGGGACGAAAAAAGGGCUUUCUAGCUCGUCUGACGGUACCCUAUGAAUAAGCACCGGCUAACUCCGUGCCAGCCGCCGCAGUAAUAC